rnacentral:rRNA from 1 species
UUAAGAUACUAAGAGCAUACGGUGGAUGCCUUGGCGAUAUCUGCCGACGAAGGACGUGACAAGCUGCGAAAAGCUGCGGAGAGAUGCAAAUAAUCGGCGACCCGCAGACAUCCGAAUGGAGAAAUCCGGCUGUGAUGAUGCACAGCCAUCCAUGCCCAAGAGCAUGAGAAGGGAACCGGGCGAACUGAAACAUCUAAGUAGCCCGAGGAAAAGAAAUCAAACGAGAUACCCCAAGUAGCGGCGAGCGAACAGGGAAGAAGCCCAAACCGGUGAAGGAAACUUUACCGGGGUUGAGGACCAUCAGACCCGCGAAGAACCUUAGCCGAAACUGUUGGGAAACAGUGCCGAAGACAGUGAAAGCCUGGUAGGCGAAAAAGAGAAACGCGGAGAUGGCACCAGAGUACCGCGGGACACGAGAAAUCCCGUGGGAAGCAGGGGGGACCACCCUCCAAGGCAAAACACAGAUAUCGACCGAUAGCGCAUAGUACCAUGAGGGAAAGGUGAAAAGCACCCCGGGAGGGGAAUGAAAGAGAACCUGAAACCGUAUGUUUACAAGCAGUCGGAGACCGCUUAAUAAUAAGGUCGACGGCGUGCCUAUUGAAGAAUGAACCGGCGAGUUACGAAGCCUGGCAAGGUUAAGCAGGAAAUGCGGAGCCGAAGCGAAAGCGAGUCUUAAGAGGGCGCAAGUCAGGAAGCGUAGACCCGAAACCACAGUGAUCUACCCAUGUCCAGGUUGAAACACAGGUAAAAAUGUGUGGAGGACCGAACCUAUAUCCGUUGAAAAGGGUUAGGAUGAGGUGUGGGUAGGGGUGAAAUUCCAAUCGAACGUGGAGAUAGCUGGUUCUCCCCGAAAUAGCUUUAGGGCUAGCCUCAGGGAAAAGAUUGCAGGCGGUAGAGCACUGAUCAGGAGAGGGACCUACCCGGUUACCAAACCCAGUCAAACUCCGAAUGGCUGCAAUCAUACCUGGGAGUCAGACUGCGACUAAUAAGGGCCGUAGUCAAAAGGGAAACAGCCCAGACCAUCAGCUAAGGUCCCCAAUGCCGUGCUAAGUGGCGAAGGAUGUGGCAUUUCAUAAACAACCAGGAUGUUGGCUCAGAAGCAGCCACCAUUUAAAGAGUGCGUAAUAGCUCACUGGUCGAGAGACGCUGCGCCGAAAAUGUCCGGGGCUCAAGCACGGAACCGAAGCUAUGGCAUGAUAGCAAUAUCAUGGGUAGGGGAGCGUUCUUAUAAGGAAGAAGCAUGACCGGAAGGACAUGUGGACGAAUAAGAAGUGAGAAUGCCGGUAUGAGUAUCGAAAAGAAAGGUGAGAAUCCUUUCCACCGAAAGCCCGAGGGUUCCUGAGCAACGAUCGUCGACUCAGGGUAAGUCGGGACCUAAGCCGAGGCGAGAAGCGUAGGCGAUGGACAACAGGUUGAAAUUCCUGUACCGGAUCAAGUCGAUCGAGCGAAGGAGCGACGCAGGAGGGCACAUGAUCGCGCGGCUGGAAGAGCGCGUCCAAGUGCGUAUGUUGCAGCAGAGGAAAACCCCUGCAGCUAAAAGCAGAGACAUGAUGGGGAGUUAAAGGAAACUUUGACGAACUCAUGGAUCCCACACUGCCAAGAAAAACUUCUAGCGAGACAAGAUCCGCCCGUACCGUAAACCGACACAGGUAGGCGGGGAGAGAAUCCUAAGGUGCGCGGGAAAACCCUCGUUAAGGAACUCGGCAAAUUGCAUCCGUAACCUAGGGAGAAGGAUGGCCCCCGGUCAGUGAAGAGCAGAAACGCUCAGAGCUAAAAGGGGCGGCAGAAAAGAGGCCCAAGCAACUGUUUACCAAAAACACAGGUGCCUGCGAAAGCGAAAGCUGAAGUAUAGGUGCUGACGCCUGCCCGGUGCCGGAAGGUUAAGGAGAGAAGUUAGCGAAAGCGAAGCAUCGAACUGAAGCCCCGGUGAACGGCGGCCGUAACUAUAACGGUCCUAAGGUAGCGAAAUUCCUUGUCGGGUAAGUUCCGACCCGCAUGAAAGGCGUAAUGAUUUGGGCACUGUCUCAACGAGGGGCCCGGUGAAAUUGAAAUACCUGUGAAGAUGCAGGUUACCCGCGACUGGACAGAAAGACCCCAUGGAGCUUCACUGCAGCUUGAGAUUGAAUCCCGGUGACAGAUGCACAGGAUAGGUGGGAGGCGCCGAAGCAUUGCCCUAGGGCGGUGCGGAGCCGAUGUUGGGAUACCACCCUUCUGUUGCUGAGAUUCUAACGCGAGGAGUAACGACCCUGCGGACCCUCUCAGGCAGGCGGUUUGACUGGGGCGGUCGCCUCCGAAAGAGUAACGGAGGCG